rnacentral:rRNA from 1 species
GAUGAACGCUGGCGGCGUGCCUAAUACAUGCAAGUCGAGCGAACAGACGCGGAGCUUGCUCCUCUGUCGUUAGGGGCGGACGUGUGUGUAACAUGUGGAUACCCUCCUUAUAUGUCUGGGAUAACUUCGGGAAACCGGCGCUAAUACCGGAUAACCUGUUGAACCGCAUUGUUGGACGGUGAAAGACGGUCUUGGUGUCACUACUCGAUGGAUACCCGCCGCAUUAGGUAGUUGGUACGGUCAAGGCUUUUCACGGGUACGAUGCGUAGGCGACCUGAUGGGGGGAUCGGCCACCUGGGAACGGAGACACGCACCAGACGCCUACGGGAGGCAGCAGAAGCGAAUGGUCCGCAAUAGUCGAAAGCCUGGCACAGCAACGCCGCGUGAGUGAAAACGAUCCUCCGAUCGUAAAACUGUCUUAUGAGGGAAGAACAAAUGUGGAAGUAACCGUACACUUCUUGACGGUACCUAAUCAAAAAGCCACGGCUAACUACGUG